rnacentral:lncRNA from 1 species
CAUACAUCUAAUACACAAAUCAGAGAAGAAGGAGGGGGUCGAUAGGGGAACCUCGAUAGCUAAGUCAGUAGUGUUGGAAGGAUCCCUCAUAUGUGUGAAAUACAGAUCCCCCACUUAAGAUCACAAUCAUUGGUGAUGAUGUCGAUACCAUAAUAAGAAGGAAAAAGAGAGAUGUAUAAAGACAUAAUCAAAUACGUAGAUCAAUCUAAAGCUUACCUCCAUAGGGUAUGUAAGCUUC